rnacentral:rRNA from 1 species
UACGAAGGGGGCUAGCGUUGUUCGGAAUUACUGGGCGUAAAGCGCGCGCAGGCGGCUAUCCAAGUCAGUGGUGAAAGCCCGGAGCUCAACUCCGGAACUGCCAUUGAAACUGUUUAGCUUGAGGACGAGAGAGGUGAGUGGAAUUCCCAGUGUAGAGGUGAAAUUCGUAGAUAUUGGGAAGAACACCGAAGGCGAAGGCAGCCCCCUGGGAUAUAACUGACGCUCAGGCACGAAAGCGUGGGUAGCAAACAGG